AGCCAUCCUAGUACUACUCUCGCC
rnacentral:siRNA from 1 species